CAGCCGCCGCGGGAACACGUAGGUGGCAAGCGUUGUCCGGAAUUAUUGGGCGUAAAGGGCUCGCAGGCGGUUUCUUAAGUCUGAUGUGAAAGCCCCCGGCUCAACCGGGGAGGGUCAUUGGAAACUGGGAAACUUGAGUGCAGAAGAGGAGAGUGGAAUUCCACGUGUAGCGGUGAAAUGCGUAGAGAUGUGGAGGAACACCAGUGGCGAAGGCGACUCUCUGGUCUGUAACUGACGCUGAGGAGCGAAAGCGUGGGGAGCGAACAGGAUUAGAUACCCCUGUAGUCCCUGUCUCUUAUAA
rnacentral:rRNA from 1 species